UUUUACUUGGUUUGUUUUUAGAGCUCUGCACCACCUUGGAAGACUGAAAAACCUCGUGGAUGAAAUGAACGAGAGAAGGUCUAUAGAAUUGAAGGAGGGUGGUGUGUAGCACUGAUGUCUUAUGAUUCCUCAGGGAAUAUCAAAAUAAAUGUUUCUAUAUGUGCUUCACAUUAAAUCUGAUAUCAUUAUGAUUAAUUCGUUUAUUUAUAUUACUUUCACUGCAGUGUGUUAUGAAACCAGACUCAGACAGGAAGUAAGCGCAGGAGUGAAGUCUUUAUUUACAUGAAACGCGGUCUAGACUGGAAGAGGAAAUCGAGGUUUACACAUGAAACUAGACAUGGAAAUCAUUUAACUAAGGCUAUGGCAUGGAACAUGAAACCAAAGCAGAACAUGGAAACAUUACCGCGUGGCACCAUUACACCCAUCCAUCCAUCCAUCCAUCCAUCCAUCCAUCCAUCUACACAUUAAAUAGACCUGAGCCACGAAACAUGAAAACAAACAUGUAACCUAUAAUACUGUGCGACGUGCGCAGCAACUCGAGGCGUUUAAAAAACAAGUUUGAUUACCUCGAGUGUUAACAGCUGGUAACAAUCCUUACAUUCCCUCGAUAAUCAACCAAUGGCUAAACAAGCAGAAAACAGAAACAAACGUGCGUGUCUAUUGUAAACAAAGUCUCUGUGUGACGCACGAGCAUGUGCUCGCUCUGGUUCAUGCAGGCGCGCUCUCUGUGCACAUCAUCGCCACAGCGCCAUCUGCUGGCGAGAUCGUGACACAGUGCCUUAUGAUGAGUCGUCUUUAAUUAACACUAAUUCAUAGUCGUACGACUCUUCUGUCAUUUGCUGUUGAAUUACAAGACAACAUCAUGAUUAUCGUUUGCAGUGUCUUCUCAUCCAGUGACCGAUAAUAUUUUUAAAAUAGAAAUAUCGACCAAUGGGUGAGCAUUCACUGAGUGAUAGCAAUAAAAAUGACCUGUUCCGUUGAAUUUGUGGUUUUAACGCUGUAUAUAAAAAACAGUAGACAAUCCAUUUAUGUGGAAUUGCAUAUCAACAAUCUGCGUUAUUUAUUUGAAGACCUACACACCUCUCCUGUUAGUUCUAAUGUAGGUAUUAAAUAAUAUGCUUCAAUUGAAAGAUCGAGUAAUACGUGAAGGCUCCAGUCAAAACACUUAAUAUUGUGUUUAUAUGACUUUUAUUAUUUUUAUAGCUAGAUUUAACUAGCUUAUAACACAUGGAAUAUAUUUAACUGUUGUCAGGAAGUGAAAUGACACUGAAAAAAAUCAGACAGUUACAUAAUAAAGAUAGAAUUGUAUUCAGAGUGAGUAACAAGACUGUUCUCACAAACACCCUGAUCUGAUCUCCAGGAACUCCAAUUCUCAGAAUCCCCAGUCCAUAACCAGGCCUUCACCCCUGCUCUCGUACACCUACACCCACAUUUCACCUUUAUUCACUGUAGUUCUUUUAGUUCAUAUCUACGUCUUGUUCACUUCUGGUCUGUUUACAUGUGUUUAAUUUUCACUCUCAUUCAUUGGAUAUCGCUCUACUGUACUUGUUAUAUAGGUUUUUGCCUGUUUUCUCACUUUGCCUCCACCUGCCGUUUUUGUGCCUUUUGUCUCGUCUGUUUUUUGAUAAUAAACCAGUGUUUUAUAUUAACCUG
ensembl:lncRNA